rnacentral:lncRNA from 1 species
UGUUCUUUCCCCUCCAGAAACUCUAGCAUCUAUGAGAAUUUUCUAUUCUAUUCUAUUCAACAAAUCUUUUCACCCCUUCCCUUUUCUUAUUUCUGUUUCUUUGUGCUGCAUCCUUGAUCAUUCUGAGCAACUGAACCAUCACUCCAGGUCAGUAAUUCUUAUUUAACUCAUACAUUGACAUUUAUAUAUAUAUAUAUUAUUUCUAGAAGUCCUAUUUAGUUCUUUUUCCAAACAUGCAUCUUCUUUGUGGUGUGUGUUUGUCACUGCCUAUUGUCUAUAUGCAUUUAGUUGUUUUAAACUUGCUGAUUGUGGCUCAGUGGUAGAGCACUUGCCUUGCACAUGUGAGGCCCUGGGUUCUAUCCUCAGCACCACAUAAAAGUAAAUAAAUAAAAUAAAGGUAUUAUGUCCAACUACAACUAAAAAAUAAAUAUUUUUUAAAUGCUGAUUUUAUGAUUUAUAAUACAUUGGUUUUUUUUAUCUAAAGUUCUUGGGUAUCUGAUCCUGCUGUCUCUUGCCCAUAGUUGAUUGUUUCUUCAACUGUUUUAUAGUUUGAAUUGUGAACUCAUCGUAAGCGUGACUUUAUGUGUAGCAAUUCUAUGAGACCCUAAAUGAUGGGAUGUCCUUCUAUGAAGUUUUGUUUUGUUUCUCACAAGAUCUUCAAGGGAUUUGUUAUCACUUUUAUGACAAUUUCUUAGCUUGUGGCUUCCUAGACCACACAAAUAAAAUAUAUUCAAUCCCAAACCCUCGUAAGAUAUAGGUCAAAAUUUUCUCAAGAGAUACUUUUUUUUCAUACAGAGCCUAGGAGAAGACAGAUAAUCCCCUCUGGGUCAAUGAGAGAAUUUUCUUCUCAUCUACCCUCACAUGGAAGCUUCCAACUUUCUAGAAUAUGUCUCAGGCGGUCAUAUCCUCAUUCACAAGCUCACCGCCCUAGUUUUCAGUACCCUUUUCAUUCACAGCCCCUGUCAAUUUCCUGUGCGCUCAUCUAUUCAUUCAAAUAAGUAUUUGUUUAUUUCUAGAUAACUGUGGAAAUGGGUUUUCAGGUUAUCUUGAUCACAGUAUUACCACAACUAGAAGCCAAAAUUUAUUUAUAUAAGCAAAUAUGAAAUCCACCAGUUGCCGAGAUCCCUGACUGUGAUACUGAUAUUUUUUUCCUUAAGUAUCUCUGAGAGAUAAAUAUACUGGUUUACAUUUUUUGCACGUAUUUUUAAAUAUUAUAAGGGCUAGUCACUGCCCUAAGUUUCAGCAUAUUUUGUGUUCAGACUCCUGACAGAAUAUUUGACCUGCUAGAUAGAAUUGCUUCUUCUUAAUCAGAUUAGGACUCGGCCAUAGUGCCUCUUCUCUUGGGCUUUACCUAAAAAUUCUGUGGCCUUUAUAGGUUAGUACUACUAUUAAGUCAUUAAUCAGAGAGAUAGUGCUGACUAUGAAGGGGGAGAAAGCACAGACUCUGGAACCAGGAAGACAUGGCUAUUACUUUACAGCUGAGUAUCUUUGGGCAAGUAGUUCUAUCUGAGCCUUAAUGUUUCCAUCUGUAAACUGGGGUGAUAAUACCUAGUUUGAAGGUAUAUUUAUUAGUCAGGAUUCUCCAGAAAGAAAGAACCAAUAGGAGAGAGGAGAGAGAGAGAGAGAGAGAGAGAGAGAGAGAGAGAGAGAGAAUAGAUAAUAACUAAAAAGGUAAUUGAUAGAUAGGUGACAGAUUAGAUGAUGAUGAUUAUCAUCAAUAGAUAGACAGAUAGAGUGAGUAAAUUAUGAUUUAUAUAUGAGUUGUCCCCAAAAGUUUAGAGGUGAAAUAACUUGGUUCUCAGAGCCUUAACCUAAUCACUGAAUUAAUUCCCUGAUGGUGAUUAACUGAGUGCUAACUGAGACUGGUAGGGUGGGCUUAGAGGAGGUGGGUCCCUGGAGGCAUGACUCUGGGGUAUAUGUUUUGUACCUGGAGAGCAGAACUCUCUGUCUCUGCUUCCCGGUUCCAUGUCUUGAGCUGCUUUUCUCCUCCACGCCCUUCUGCCGUGAUGUUCUGCCUCAUCUUGGGCCGAGAGUAAUGGAGUCAGCCAUCUAUGAACUGAGACCUCUGAAACCGUGAGCCCCAAAGAAACUUUUCCCCCUCUUUUUGUUCUUAUCAAAUCUUUUGGUCACAACAGUGCAAAAGCUGACUAAACCAGAUAGAUGAUAGAUAGAUAGAUAGAGGAUUUAGUAGGGGAAUUGGCUCAUUUAGUUACUGAGGCUGAGAAGUCCCACGCUAGGCCAUCUGAAUACUGGAGAACCAGGGAGGCUGGUAACAUGGCUCAGUUCAAAUUCAAUGCUCUCAAAAAUCAAGAAAGCGGAUGGUAUGACUCUCAAUCCAAGGCCUCGGAUCUGAGUGGGAGGUCCCUAGUGCAAAUCUGAGAGUCCAAAAAUGGGGGAACAUGGAGUCCUGAUUUCCAAGAGCAGGAAAAGACAGGGGUCCCAGUUCCAGGAGAGAAAGAGAAUGAAUUUGCCUUUCCUUUGCCAUUUUGUUCUAUCCAGCCCCUUGCUGAUUGGACGGCACAUGCGCACAUCGAGGAUGGAUCUUCCCCACUGAGGCCACCGACUCAUGGGCCAGUCUCCUUCUGGCCACCCUCACAGACAUACCCAGAAACCAUGUUGUAUCAGCUUUGUAGGGAACCCCUUAAUUCAGUCAUGUUGACACCUAAAACUAACUUAUCACAAAAUGGUUGAGGUUAAAAUUAGAGAUGAGGUUUAUAAAGCACCCAGCACAAAAUAGCUUCUUGAGUUAUUACUUAAUCUACCUUUGAGGAUUUUUCAUUUAACCAUAGUAGCAUGGCCCCUUGGUAUCUUCCACAAUGGCUAAGGUGGUGUUCCUCCAAUUUGAGUUCCUUUGUCUCUGUGGCCACCACCUAUUUCAUUUUCUUCACAUUAACAAAAUUUCCCCUUUUUAUAUGUUUCUGGUCAUUUAGGGAACAGUCGUGUUAACUUGAACUGCCUUAUCUAAACUUUUGCACCCAAUAAAUGUGCCCUAUUUCAGCUCUAAAGUGAAUCAUGGCUUUAUCUACAUCUUUGUAAACGGAAUGAUAUAAGUAGGAAAGAGAAGGUCAUUUGUAAAUUUCUAAUUGGAACAUACAUGAUACAGAGGAUGUCAGAGCUGAAAGGGACCUUAGAAGUCCCUAAGAUGAGGAGUCUAAGGGCCAGCAAAAAAUAAUGAUAAUAAUGCUGACCUGCCCAAGUUCACCACCACUCAAUGACAAAGCCAAGAUCAAAAGCCAGGCUUUCUGUAGGGCACAGUGGCACAUGCCUGUAAUCUCAGCAACUUGGGAGGCUAAAGCAAGAGGAUAGCAAGUUGGAGGCCAGCCUCAACAAUUUAGUGAGGCUUUAAGCAACUUAGUGAGACCCUGUCUCAAAAUAAAAAACAUUUUUAAAGGCCUGGGGAUGUGGCUGAGCCCCUUUGGGUUCAAUCCUAGUACCCACCCACCCCCCAAAAAGCUAGGCUUUCUGAUACCAAGAGCAGGACUAUAACUGGAAUCAUUUUCACUACUACACUACAGAAGUUGCAACGAACCUUCUGGUAUAAUCAAUUUGUAAUCUGGAAGCAAGCCAAAUCAUCAUGGUUAAUCAUUUCCCUUCCACUUUGUUUCUGUGGCCCUGUAAACCUAUCAAUUGUAGCUUUCCAGGGAGCUUAUGACUCAGCAUACACAGCAGAGUUGAAAAACUGCUGGGUGAAAUAACGAAGAGCCAUCUUGCCAUUAUGUGACAUUAUGUGCCAUGAAUUCUAAGCCUGAAUUGUACUCUUUUUCAUUCUGGAUUCCAAUUAGAAGUGGCCCUACUUGUUCUCUAGGCCUUACUAGUUUUAUGUGUUUUUAAUAUUUUCCCCACAUGAGAAGCAAAAACAUGUUUGCCCUUCAUUCCUGAGCGGUUAAUCCCUCUCAGACACAGAAAGCUGGCAACCAAUGAGGAAAGAUUGUCUCCAGACACUACUUAAGGCGGUGACCACCCAGUUGAGUGAUGGAUGUCAUUUGUCAACAAGAAACUAGGCUAGUGCCAGGUGCGGUGGCGCACACCUGUAAUCUCAGCAGUUUGGGAGGCUGAGGCAGGAGGAUCAUGAGUUCAAAGCUCAGCAAAAGGGAGGCCCUAAGCAACUCAGGGAGACCCUGUCUCUAAUAAAAUACAAAAUAGCCUGGGGAUGUGGCUCAGUGGCUGAGUACCCUUAGUUCAAUCCCUGGUACCACCUCAAAAAAAAAAAAAAAAGAAAGAAUAAAGAAACUAGGCUAGGGUGGGGGCAGGGAAACAUUCAGUUGAGACCCAUUACAUCCAUGAAAAAAUUUAAGUGUUGUGUCUUACUAACAGUGGAUUGGGAAUGUGGUGGAUGUUGGGCACAAGUGUAUAGUCCCCCAAAGCUUAGCCAGGUGAAUGAAAUCUGUGUUCCAGAGUGUGGAAAGAGCAUCCCUGUUGUAGAACAUGGUGGCAGGAAAGUGGGAGGCCAGAAUCCCUGGAAUUUGGGUGGGCAGGGGUCAGGGACCAACACUGACACACCUUUCAGGCCUGGCCGGUCAGUUUGGUUCGGUCAUUGGUUUCAGGUUAUGUCUGGAAAUCAGGUGAACCUUCCUUUAAAAUAAAGAAAUGUUUGUCCUUGAAAACUGGGAGCUGAAGUAUGGGACCCUACAGUAUUGGGCUGGGUCUGGCAGUUCAUAGUCAGUGUCCUAUAGAAAUAGUUGUCCAAUGCAGGUCUCUGAUACAGAAUUGCUCUGCCCUUGAACAUUGAGCUUUGCCAGCAUCCAUUAGUUUUUUGGGCCACAAGAUUCAGUCGAUUCAUGACAGCCCUCACUUGGGAGGUCAUUCAGAGACAGCUAGCCAGUCCAUGAAAUUUGCAUCCCCUUGCAUAGUAUAGAGUUGUCAUUGAUACACAGGUGUGCAGCCAGAGACUGCAUUUCCCAGCUGAAUAGCCAUGUGACUUGCUGAGAGCCAUAGCCGAGUCGGGAUGACGCAUGGCAUUUUUGCCAGAAGUAGUGGUUGAGAGGUGACGCCAGCGAGCCAUUAAGAUGAUGACUUUUGAGUUCUCCCGGAGUUCCCGUUGAGUUCCGGUUGAGUUCCGGUUGAGCUCUCGCGGGGAUUCCUGGAGAGUUCCCGUUGGUUGGUGAAGUUCCGGUGGUGGGAGUUCCGGUUGGUGUGUGGUGUGUUCCUGGAGGAGCCGCGUGGGUGGCGUUCGGGAGAGUUCCCGGGGAGCGUGUGUGGAGUGUGCUGGUGGAGUUCAGAAAUAAAGUUUGUUCCUGCUUCAGUGGCUCGUGAUUUGUGCCCAGCCAGACUGCGGCAGUGACUAGUUCUCUCAUCUAUUGAAUGAGAGACUGAGGCAUAAGCAUGCAUGCCUGCCUUCACUGGGAUCACUCUUUCCCUUUCUUUGUUUUUGUUGUUCUUUGUUUUUUGGUGUUUUUUUUUUUUUUUUUGGUACCAGGGAUUGAACUCAGGGGCACUCUACCACUGAGCCACAUCCCCAGCCCUUUUUAUGUUUUAUUUGGAGACAGGGUCUCCCUGAGUUGCUUAGGGCCUUGCUAACUUGCUGAGGCUGCCUUUGAACUCAGGAUUCUCCUGCCUCAGGCUCCUGAGUGCUGGGAUUACAGGAAUGUGCUACCAUGCCCAGCUUCCCUUUCCUUUAAACUGAAAACUGAAGACACAGAGACCUAGAACAGUGGUUCCCCAUGUGGGCCCUGGAUCUGCAGUGUGUACAACAUCUGGAAGCUCAUUAGAAAUGCACAUUCUGAAGUCCACCCUGGGCUUACUAAAUCAGACACAUUGGAGAUGGGGCCCUGAAAUCUGUUUUAACAAGCCUUCCAGGGAAUUCUCAUGCUCCCCAAAGUUUGAGAAUCACUGUUGUUAGGCGAUAGUAGGACCAUAAGAUGGAAGAACCCUGGGUUCCUGAAUCACCACAUGGAGGACAGCCACCUACCAGAAAGAGUUGCACAGAGUACUCUACAAACUGGAAAGAAAUCAUGGUUGGAUUAAGGUUAAUCCAACCUUAAUUUUAAUGGAGGGUUCAUUUUUUAUAUCAGCUGGUGUUACACUAAUAUCUUGGAAGGACCAACUUUAUACCAAACACAAUCAAAAUGAGGAGGGAAGACAGUGUAAUAUCACUAGAUUCCUAACACUUUAAAGGGGAUACAUAAGUGUCUUCACACAUCUACAGUUGUAGGUGUACCCUCCCCCACGUCAUGAUCCCAUGUCAGCAAUAGGAGUACAGAUCAGGGUCUUUACCGAUCAGGGUCUAGAAAUCACAAGCAGCGACGGAUCAUCUACUCAAACCUGCAGGCCUCAAGGAUGAGCAGGAAGAGCAAGAGCUGUGGCUGAUCCCGAGGGACUGGGUGUCUUGUGCCAGUCUCAUGCAGAUGGCUUUCACAGGAAAGAAGACAGACACCAUGGACUACCUGCCAGUGAGCUGAGUAUCUAACUAUAUAAGCACUGUUCCAGGACAAGGUUCAAGAAUUUUCCAGUGUCUGUGAAUCUACACAUACCUGGGUGUGAGCAGCUACUAUCCUGCUACUGACCUGGCUAGAUUAGCUUUUAUCGGAUCUGCAAGGAUGUGGGAUCUGGUAGGAAGAAUUCCAAGAAGACUCUCCAGCUCUCAGUGACUCUUGCUCUUGUGUGAUCCUCUUUCCUUCAAGUGUGAUCAGAAACUGUGAAAUAUGAUUUUAAAAAUCCACCCCCAACCCCAUAAUUAUGGUACAUGAUUUGGCAAAAGGGAGAUCAUCCUGGGUGGACUUGACCAAAUCCAGUGACUCCUUUAAAAGUCUAGAGUCUUCUCUGGCUGGUGACAGAAAAGAGACAGAGUGACAUGCUCCGGGUGGCUUAGAAGAGAAAAAGUACCCAUGUGGACUGUCUACUGGGGCUGUGACUCAGUGGUAGAGCCCUGCCUAGAAUGUGCAAGGCCCUGAGUUCCAACCUCAGCACCACCAAAAGACAAAAGAAAAAACAGAGCCCCAGUCCCACAACCCCAAGCAACUAAAUGCUGCCAACCCCCAGGAGCUUGGAAGAGGAUCCCAAGCCACAGAUGAGAACAAAGCCCCACAAAUCCAGGACUACAAAUCCACAGAACCGUGAGAUACAGUCACACAUCACUUCACAACGGGGACAUCUUCUGAGAAAUGCAUCAUUAGGCAAUUUCAUCAUUGUGCAAACAUCAUAGAGUAUCCUUCAACAAAUUAAAGAUGGCUACCAUGUCACUAGGUGAUAUAAUUUUAUGGAACCACAGUCGAAUAUGCUAUCAUUGACCAAAAUGUUGCUGCUAGGUAGCACAUGACUGUAAUAAAUUUGAGGUAUUUUAAGCUGCUAAGUUGGUGGCAGUUUGUUAUGUAGCAAUAGAAAACUAAAAUGUGUGUGUGGGGGGGUCAAGAGUCUGUCUGUGUAGCAAACACUGUCCGUGCUUGGCAAGAGCCCCCAGGCUCCCUCUGAGGGCUUCCAUGUACCCUCCCCCAUCUGCUGUAUGCUUUUAGUUCAAACAGCCUACACCUGCGAUUCUCUUUAGCCAGCUGGCCUGGGCUUCUAGAAGCUUAUGCAGAGCUAGAGUUGCCUGGGAAUUUAUGCUCCCCUGAGGAGACACUUAGUCAAAGACCAACUGGUUUGAGAGUGUCAAACUCAGCCUCCCUACCUCAAGUUGGGAUGGGCUCAGAAGUAUAAGUCACACACCAGAGCUCCUCUGCAGGAUCAGGCUGAGGCUGAGAGUUGUCCAGAGAUGUCCUCGCCUGCUUCCCUCCCCUGCCCUUCCCUGUUUCCCCCACUUCCUCUCUGUUCUCCCCCUAGGAGCCCAUCCUUAAUCCUUCAUGGCUGAAGCCUUACCAGGUUCUUCUCCAGUAGAACCUCAUAUAUGAGUCAUUUUGUGUUGCCUUAACAAAAUACUUGAAGCUGGCUACUUAGAAAGAAAAGAGGUUUGCCCAGCGUGGUGGCGCACACCUGAAAUCCCAGCAGCUCGGGAGGCGGAGGCAGGAGGUUCGCAAGUUCAAAGCCAGCCUCAGCAACUUAGUGAGGCCCUCAACAACUCAGUAAGACCCUGUCUCUAAUAAAAUAUAAAAAGGGAGUUGUGCUCCAUUUGUGUACAAUGUGUCAAAAUGCAUUCUACUGUCAUGAAUAACUAAUUAGAACAAUUUUUUUAAUGGGCUAACGAACUAAAAAAAAAAUGCUGGGAAUAUGGCUCAGUGGUUAAAUGCCCCUGGGUUCAAUCCCUGGUUAAAAAAAAAAGAAGAAGAAGAGGAGGAGGAGGAGGAGGAAGAAGAGGUGGUUGUUUGUUUAUUUAGCUCACAGUUGUGGAGGCUGAAAGCCAAAUACUGGGUGACAGCAUCUGUUUGACCUCUGGAAGGGUCUCUGACUGCAUCACAGCAUGUGUAGAGGGCUACACACAUGAAGUGGCCUUGUUUGAUAACAACCACUCUCAUAGAAACUAACCAGGAGCCCACGAGAACUACAGUGUUUUCUUCCAAGAGUUCCAUUCCCAAUGACCUGAUUACUUUUCUCUAAGAACCAUGUCUUAAAGGUCCCAUCACCUCUUAAUGUUGUCACACUGGGGACCAGGCUUCCAACACAUGAAUUCUUGGGGGACAAAUCACAUCCAAACCACAGCAACUCCAAAUGCUCCACGUUCUAAUACCAUCAUCUUGAGGGAUGGAUUUGAACCCAUGAACUUGAAGAGGAGAAACAAACAUUCAGACCAUAGCAUGUAAACAAGCUCCAAAUGUUCAAAAUUCACACCCCCUCCCAACGUCCCCACCUCUUUCAAUUUCAGGCGGAAGUGGGUGGGAACACCCACUGAUUUCAAUGCCAAUGCCAAAUUGCAAACCCAUUUGGCACGCACAUAUCACACACAACACACACAGAAUGCAUAGGACACACAUAAAGGCACCACACACAGAUACAAUACACAAAUGCGCACAAUACAAAUGUGCAAUGUGCGUUAGUCAGCUUCUCGUCGCUGUGACCGAGAGGCCUCACAAAAACAACUCAGAGGAGGAAACUGGAUUGGGGCUCACAGUUUCAGAAGCUCAGUUCCUGGUUGGUUGGCUGGCUCCACUGCUUUGAGCCUGAGGUGGAGGUCGAACAUCAUGGCACAAGGGUGUGACAGAAGAAAGCUACUCAGCUCAUGGCAACCUGAGAGCAGGAGCAGCCAGAGAAAAGACAUAGAACCCCCAUGGACCUACUUCCUCCAGCCAUAUUUGACCCCCUUACAGUUACCACCUAGGACAGUAGUUCUUUCAAAUUACUAAUCCAUCAAGUAGAUCCAUCCACUGACUAGGUCAUAGCUCUCGUAAUCCGAUCAUUUCGGCCCUAAACACUCCUGCAUCAACACAGGAGUUUGGAGAAGUACCUCGUAUCCAAACCUUAACAGAAUAUAUACAAUACACAAAUCACAUAAACACAGCACACAAAAUAUAGACAAUACAUGAUACAGUACAGACGACACACAUGACAUACAACUUGAAACCCCCAAGUAACAUAUACCACACACACGACAUAUGCAACCCACAAAACAGACAAAAUGCAUACACACAACAACACACAUACCACAUACACACGUGCACACAGCCGCUUUUCCACCAGUCCCUUGCCCACCUGGGCAGAAGGCAAAGUCUAAAAAGAGCGAGGCCCUGGUUGUGACCUCAUCAGGGCAUCUGGGCUGCUUUGAGCACCGUUCUGAAGACAGGGUUAUUCUAGUUCAUUGCCGCUGGGCCUUCUAACAGACUUUCUCUUUUCUUUCUUGUGUCUUGGUAUUAAUUAGCCCUGGGAUUUAAAUCUGACGCAUCAGGCCAAAACAAUUCUAAAUGCUUUUGGAAAAACAAAUUCCAAAUUAGCUGUAGCUGAAUGUGCAUCUAUUUGAAAGGCAGGCAAUGUGAAGACUGACCCUGUAGAAAACAGAAGUGCAGCUGGGCAGGGUGGUACAGUGGGGGGCAGUGGUGCAUGCCUGUAAUCCCAGCGGCUCAGGAGGCUGAGGCAGGAGGAUCUUGAGUUCAAAGCCAGUCUCAGCAACAGAGAGGCCCUAAGCAACUCAGUGAGACCCUGUCUCUAAAUAAAAUACUAAAUAGGGCUGGGGAUGGGGCUCAGUGGUUGAGUGCCCCUGGGUUCAAUCCCUGGUACCCCCAAAAAAAAGAAAAUAGAAGGGAACGCCCCAAGAAAAGAAAGGCAGGAUUGGAAAGAUUUGGUGACUACCUGGUCCACAGCCCGGCCCUGGCAGGGCUUGGGGGAGGAGGUUGUUGGGCUAUAGGAGGGUGGGAAACAAAAGUUUGACAUCUAGGUCACAGGUGAAGGGAGCGACAGUCCUUCUGUGUUCCUCUCCAUGGCCUUGUAGUCUUUGAAACAGGCACUGUCAGGGAGUUCCCGGGAUCCAGUCCUCCUAAAGCUACUGGAUGCUAAAUUCACCUUGAAUGUCUCUCUGCUCCAACUGGUGACCUUCCUACACCCACCUUGGCCGUUUCUGAAUGGUCCUGAAGGUGUAGGGCUGGGGUGGACCACGUGGGGACUGUGGAAAGCACUGAGGUGCCUAACACCUGGCACCAGUCUGACCAUUUGGUGAAGUGCUGUUUCCCCCUCAGCAACAUGUUAUGUCCUUUAAAUGCGGGGACUGGCUCCUUUGUGGUCAGAGACACUGGCUUGAAAAUGUUUUCUGUGUGCACUUGCCUAAGUGGCUGUCUCAGCUGGAGUUUGGUCAGGGAAGCAGAGACACUCUCUACACUGAAAAGGAGGAGGAGUUGUCAUGGAGCACUGGAGGGAGCCGCCUGGGCAGUCUAGGGAAGGCCACCAUUCCUACGCCUGGUGGGGACUCUCAAGACAUGGCCGGUGACCAGGGAGGAAAAAGAUGAGCUGGAGAAAGAGGGACCCAAAACACAGUGAACCUAUGAAAAAACAUUCAGGCAUGCAUCUGUGUCCCACCACCUCCAACCUCGAACACACAGGGAACCUUCAGAUUAGACCCACGUCCUCCGCCAUAUGGGCACACACGAUAGCCCUGGGAUUCCACGAAGCCAAAAGAGGAGGCCUGAUGGGCACUGGAGGGACCUGGUUACUGCCCUAUCAAAGUGAGCACACAGAUCAGUGAUGACACAUGCGAGAUGCUGUCUGAGCAGAGAAAUAGCUGCUUCUUCACUUCCACUUUCAACUCGCAUAUCAAUUUCUCUUCUGGCCAACCCCAACCCAGAAACAUACAGGGAAGAGAAUUCUAGGAAAUCUAAUUGAGAUCAGUUAGGUGGACACAGCACAAAUGCACCAACUAGAUCAUCACAUUUCUAUCUACUCAGUGAACCACACUCACAGUUGUUCCCGACAGUAAUUAAGUUGGGUCAUAAGUGUAUCAGUCAGCUAUUGCUGUGUAACAAUCUCAAGAUCAUCACAGCACCUGCCAAUGCAUUUGUGGAUUGGCUCCACAAGUUUCUCAUACUCCUCCUGGGACCAGUGCAAGCUGGGACACCUUCUUCUCAUGGUGAGAGCAGAAACACAAGAGAACCUGCAGGAACUCAUGAAGCAUCUUAAGGUCUAGGCUGUGAAUCAGAGCACUGUCCCAUCUACCCUGUUCCAUUGGCCAAGAAAGUCACAUGGCCAAGGCCACAGUCAAGGGAUAGAAAUGUACACCCCACCCAUGAUGAAACUACAGCAAGGAUGUGAAUGUAGGGAAAAAUUGGGGUCAGUGACUUAGUCCACCACAAGGGGAAAUUCUCUCCAUCUGGAUAUAACUCCCCUGCCAGUCCAUCACCAACCCAAAGGGGACUCAUUCCUCUUGUACCUCUCAUUCUUUGACUCUGACUUUUCAGCUGAUCAUCUUGGGUUAUUCCUGUCUCGCUUUUACCCAUAUCCUUCCAUCUUCCUCUCUUUCAAAUUGUGACUGGUAAUCACAGGAGGAAAAAAUAGCUUUUUUUUUUUUUUUUGGUCAUUCCAUAUAUGAGGCAAAACUAUGUGAUAACCACCUGAAAUUCUGGAACAGAUACAAUUGAACUAAGGAAAGGAAAAGCUAUUAGUUUUGAAGUGAAAUUAGAUAAAAUAAAGAGUCAAAGUCAUCAAUCUCUAACAGCCCUUGAAAUUGUCUGGAAAUGUCAUCCAUAAUCACUGCCGAGUCUCCAUGUGCCUCCUCAGACUAGCUCAUUUAAUGUUACUAUUUGGCAAUUGUUUCUAAGGACUAUAAUUUCUUCUUAUCAGUUUCUUUCUUGGGGUGUUUUUGAGGAAGACUGUUAAACCACAGAAGGCACUUAGCAGAGCGACAGGCACCCAGCAAGUUCUCAUCACUAUUAGUCACUGUUAGUCAGGGUCACAAUCUUUGGUACAAAGGCAUGGUGCUGUGCAUAGGUAGCUACUGCUGUGUAACAAAAGACCCCAAAAUAUACUGGCAAAAAAAAUCACCAGUCAUUGUGUUAAGUUCAUGGAUUCUGUGGGUCAGGAAUCCAGACAAGGUGUGGCAGGGGUGGCUUGUUUCUCCUCCAUGGUGUCCGAGGCUUUGGCUGGGAAGACUCAAUGGUAAGGAAUGACUUCAGUGACUAUGAACUCACAGAGUGCCCCCAACCUCCUUCAAUGUUCCCAGGGCCUCUCCCCAUGGCCUCUUCAGCUUGGUGGCCUCUGGCUACCAGAUGGCUCAGACCUCCAAGAAUGAGUUCAUUCCAACAAAUAAGUUAAAAGCUGCAUAGCCUUUUGAGGACAGUCUCUGAAGUCACAUUAUGUCCCUUCUGCCAUCUUCUAUGAGCCAAAGCAGUUACAAGCUCACUAGGACACAAAGGGAGGGGGACACAGAGCCUACCUCUCCAUGAGAGAGUUGUGAAAAAAAUUUCUGCCACAUCUUAAAGUCACCACUUAGCUAUUUCUGGUACAUUGACAGUUGAAUAGGCUUUUGUGGUUUAAUCAGGAACCUCAAGAUUUUUCUUAGCAGGGUUUCUAUGGGAACUAUGUGUUGGGGUCCAGAUAACACACUUUCCAGUUCACUUUGGAAUACAACUCGUUCAUCAGGGGGGACUCUCAAAUUCACAUUCCAGACCCACAAAAUGUCUAACAGUGAACACGGCUACCAAUAUUACCUAUUAAUUAGCAAAGCACUUCCCACGACCCAGACCUAGGCUUCUUACUCUGGGUGGAUUUGAUCCUCUUGACAACCUUAUAGAUACUAUGGUCAUUUCCAUUUUGCUGAUGGGGAAAGUAAGACUUGGCGAAGACAAAUGAUAAAUCAUCCAGCCAGGACUUUGACACAGAUUUUUUUUUUUUUGGGGGGGGGGGCAGGGGGAUGGUGUUGGGAAUUGAACCCAUGACCUUGUGCAUGCGAAGCAAGCACUCUACCAACUGAGCUAUUUCCCCAGCCCUUUGACACAGAUUUUGAAACCCAGUUUCUCUAAUCCCCAAACCCAUGCUUAACUCACCACAGUGAGUAGACGCCAUGAAUACAUUGAAGGGACUGCCCUCCUUGCUGGGUGGCACUGGCUGACACCACCCCUUCAUGUGGCCACAGCUCAUUUGCACCCUCUAGCAUCCCAGCCUUCUGUGUCCCAGCAGCCCCAUCCUUCCUAAACCACAGCAAACCAAGCCACACUCAGCUUUUUGUCCCCAGGCAUGGAUGGGGAAUGAAGGGAUGUUUUUGUCCCCAGCUAUACAAUGCCAUUUGUUCGGGGGGCAGCUCUGGGGCGGUGCAGGGGGUAGGGGUGGGACAGCGAGGCAAACACAACCCCCAUUCUCCGGGGCUGGUUAACUGCACACACAGCGGGAGGCCAAGCUCAGGCCCCAACGGCCCUCGGCCCCUGGGCUGCUGGAGACGGAAAAAAGGUUGCUGCUCUGGUGGGCUUUCCCCGAGGUUUCACAGUCAAGUGUCUGUGUCACCCGCCCCGGCCACCCUACCCCGACCCACUGUUUCCCCAACAUCCCUCCUCCAUCCCCGUCCUGCAGUUUGGGAUGAGAAAACCCCCUUGUUUCAGAUCUUUGCAAUAAUGAUGAAAGUCUUUCUUUCCCCCUUUUUAAGAAUUCAUCUGUGCAUUCCAGAGGGGGCAUUUAUCACCCCGUGCCCAGGCUGCAGACGUCUCCCUCCUUCAGAUCCUCCUGCCGAGAAAGGCGGCCUUGUCAGACACAUGAAACCAGCCCCUCUGGACAUCUGGACAAGGCACAGCCCUUUGGCUGAGCACGAGACUGUCCUGAAUGCCGCAGACAGUCAAAGGAGAGCCCUUGUUCCCCGUCCAAAUGGCCCAAAUAAAUGGACGCAGCUGGGCACAGAGGAGGCGGUAGGCGUAGGGGGAGAGGGGAGCCAGGCCUUCUUGGCUGGCGCCCCAGGUACCUCCACGGGACAAUCUGAAAGGCAAAUUUGCUUGCAGAAGAGGCAUCUGGAGCUGCCUUGGUAACACCCUUCUGCUAAUAGAGUUAGGAAGGCUCAACUGGUAACUGGUAACUAACAGGUAACUGUUGCUUUGGACUUGCUUUUGUCUGAGAAGCACCCCAUCUUCUAGUGAAAGAACCUCUUUCUUGUGGGCAACCAAUUCCACUGAAGGAUCUGAGCACCACCACCAUCCACAAGACUCUGACCCAGCCCUGGCUGGCCGGCCAAUCAGCCUACUCCACUACUCGGGCACAAUCAUUGGGCACUUGAUGCUAGAUUGGCCAAUCAGAGACCUCCUUGAAACUUUUCUCCCAGAGAUAAGACCUCUCUUUUCCCACCAGGGUAGAAUAAGCCCUGCAGCUGCCAGCCGCCAUCUUGCUCACCAUGUAGCCUGAGACUGUCUAAGAAAUGAAGUAAUCGAGCCCUAAAAUUAUCAUUUGAACCCCUAGAUCCACCUGAAGCUAUAUCUGAAGCUAUUUGCUGGACAUUUAAAGUCUCUGCAGCAAUUCUACGUUUUGCUCUGGCUGAUGUAAAUUCAAUUUCUGUUUUCUGUACAGACCCCAAAGACACUGACUCACAGUUUCUCCUUGAAUAAAUAUAAAGUCGUCAACCUAGCAUUUGAGGGGCUCCGUGAAGUAGCCACAGCAUAGACAUCCCAGGUCCCCAUGGGCAGCCAGGCCAGCCUUGUCCCUGCUCCACAAGGGUCAAAUUCAGCCCAUCCCUCCAAAAGCAAGCACGACCCCAACUAAAUGGUUCUUGAAGGAAAUGUAACUCCAGCUGUGGCCCAGAGACACCCUGGGAGGGACGCAUCACCCUCAUGCUUUGCCCUGUGACCUGGGGAAAACUCUGCACUGAUGGGAGCCGGCCAGCUGCCAUGUCUAGGCAUGAAGCUUCCAGCAAAUCCCCUCAAACCUGCCCACACCCACAUUCCCAAGUACCCUCGAUGAAGGUGGCAAUCCAUGGGGAUGUCCUAGGACUGCCAGGGACCCUCAGGAACACCUUGGGGCCAUCGCCUUUCAGAAAAGAGCUGCAGCUGACUUCUGGGUGCUGCUACCCAACUUCCCUGGCAUGUUGCUCUGGACCUCCUUCCCCAGCCUCAAAACUCUCUGCCAACUCUCUAGCCCAGAGAACACGACUGUGUGUGUGUGUGCAUGCAUGUGUGUGUGUGUUGAGUGUGCAGUACGUGUGUACUUGAGUAUGGGAAAAAAACAGGCACAAAUUCAACUACAAUGGAUACAUUUUACUAGCUCUCUCUCCCUUCUGUGAUCUUCCCGAAAUCCCUUUGUAACUCACACCCCUCAUCUCUCAGCUUUCUUCCUUAAUGUGCGCACUUGACAAGAACAUUGUGGACUGUCUACUUUUUGAUUUUGUACCCGGGAUUGAACCCAGGAGCACUUAACCACUGAGCCACAUCCCCAGCUCUUUCUUAUAUUUUAUUUAGAGACACGGUCUCACUGAGUUGCUCAGUGCCUCACUAAGUUGCUGAAGCUGGCCUCAAAUUUGAGAUCCUCCUGCCUCAGCCUCCUGAGCCACUGGGAUUACAGGUGUGCGCCACCGUGCCUGGUUUGAGUGUCUACUUGAUGCUAGACUCUUGACCCGUAGUACUUCUUGGUAGGUUUCAUCAUCCCAUUUUACAGAUGAGGAAGCUGAGGCUCAGAAGGAUUAAUUACACUGUCCCAAAGCACAUAGAAGAGUUGAGGUUUGAAACCAAAUCGGAAGAGACACCAGCACUCACCACCUUCCCACUAUACUCUACUGCCUCCAAUGUAGCCCCACAUAGAAAAAGCUGCCCCUGGUGCAGGUGACUGUUCAGAAGCCUCUGAAAGCCUUUCCUUUCCCACCUGAAUUAUAAAUGCUCAGCACAGAGACUCAGUCCUUUCUCUGUCCUUUAGCCCUGUCUUCCUCCAGUACUGACAUUUUUCAGGUCCUCAAUCGAUGUUGAUUAAAUUGAACAUCAUAAGAUGCACAGAGCUAAGCCACCUGGCCAAGAGAACAGCAAACCUUUUAAAAAUGCCUAACUCAGGGACAUAGUACUUAUCACCCUUAGCAUAUAAAGGUGUUUUAGUCAGAUUUUUGUUGCUGUGACUAAAAGACCUGACAAAAACAACUGUAGAGGAGGAAAAGUUUAUUUGACGGCUCAUGGUUUCAGAGGUCUCAGUCCAUAGACAGACGGCUCCAUUCCUUGGGGCUAGAGAUGAGGCAGGACAUCAGGCAGAAGAGUGUGGCAGAGGGAAGCAGCUCACAUGGUCAGGAAACAGAGAGAGACUACAUUAGCCAGAUACAAGUAUGUACCCCAAAGGUACGUCCCCAAUGCCCACCUCCUCCAGCACACCCUACCUGCCUUCAGUGACCACUCAGUUAAUCCCAUUAGGGGAUUAAUUCUCUGAUUGGGUAAGGCUCUCACAACCCAAUCACUUCUCCUCUGAACCUUCUGGCAUAGUGUCACACAUGAGGUUUUGGGGGACACCUCACAUCCACACCAUAACAAAGGGGAAUAAUAAUAGUAUCUAUUUCAUAGUUUUCUUGUCAGUCACAUGCAAAAAUAAUGUAAAGAUCAUGGCACAGUACUGGUCUACAGUAAGUGCUCAAUAAAUAUUAGAGAAUAUCAUUGUUUGUUAUUAACCCCAGGCCAAGCUUAAGCUUUUUAAGUCCCUUUACUCUAAGACAGUUCUGUCAACUGCUGCAUGCAGUGUGGGAACCAACUAAGACAGAUGUACAUAACCCAGUGACUGUCUCCCAGGCUCUCGUGGCAGGAUUUGAGCUGUUCUUAAGGUCUCAUAAAUGCCCUGCUCUACUGAGACUCUCAGAGGACAGAGGGAGGGCAGCUGAGUGAGUCAUUUUGUGUCUUAUUUAGGAGCAGUCUUGCAUGCUGGUGGAAAGGUCGCUGUAAUGCAACCCAUGUGACUGAGCCUGUGCCCAGUGAAAGUAUGAGCCCAGGCUCUGCCAUUGAACCCGUUCUUGCUUCGUGCAGGUCACCAAGCACAGACCUGCCACGUGUCUGAAUGCCAAAAUCAUUUAAUGAUUUAAAAAGAUCGAGAUCAAUGGCUUCAGCAACUUCUGGGAAGCGGUAACUCAGCGAGCUGUGGAAGGUUCUCAAUUUGCUGUCUCCAGCCUGGCCCUGGGGCAGGAUUUAUGCUGAAUGGGCUCCAGGAGGCAAAUAUAUCCUGGGAUCGGCCCUGUCCAAUCACCCCGCCCAGGAAGUGCUGGCACACUGACAUCACCCUCACAGCUGCCAAGGCCCCCUUGCUCUGAGGGGCACUCUCUCAUUUCACAUUAAUUAGAAGGCCAUUUUCCAAGCAUUUCCAUCCCAUAAUGAAGGGCUUUCUGCAGUGGCUCAGUGAAAUAUUAAAACAUCUGACUCGGAAUCUUAAAAAAAAAAAACCAUCCUGCCUGCUCUGUCUGUAUAUCGUAUAACCCUUCACAUUCCAUGGGGGAGAAUAAGUUAAGAAAUAGGACAUCUUGUCCCAGAGGCACGCAGAGGAGGCGGGGUGGCUAGGGGGAAAUGACUACACCACUGCCAUCAAACAUUAACCACUGUGCUGUCCUCCUCUCUCCACAGCUACUUCUGAUGGGGACAUGGAGGAGUGGGAGAAAUGAACAGAUAAGAAAGAAGGGAACACGGGACAGAAGAUAUCUUCUGUAGUCCUCUCCCAUGUUGACCCUGGCCUGAUCAUGUGACUUGCUUUGCCCAAUGGAGCAUUAGCAAGAGUGACACAGGCAGAGGCUGAAUUUGCACAUGCAUCUUGUUCUCCUGGAACUCACUCUUGGAAUCUGACCACCAUGCAAAGUAGCCCCAGCUAGUCGUGUGGAGAGACCACGUGGAAGCCCGCAGCCUUCCAGCCAUCCCCACUAAUGAAUGGGUCAUAUAGGUGAAUGAGGUGUCUUGGACAUUCCAGUCCCAUCCACCAUUGGCUUCAGCCACUCAAGAUACCUCAAGCAGGACCAGCAGAAGAUCCACCCAGCUGAGCCCUAAUCAGUGCCCAGAAUCAUAAAAAAAAUUCUGUUAUACCACAAUGUCGAAUCAAAGCCUUCCAUUAUUCUCUAGUGGACCCAAGAUCAAGAUCACAUUUCCUGGUGCCCUUCAUGAAAGUUCUCCAUAUCCAAUAACUUCUGCUUUUCUCCUACCAUCCUCCUGAGCUAAGGUACGGUUUCUGCUAAACCAUAGCACCUGAAUUUCUCACACAGUAAAUCAUGACCCUGAAGGGCCUCACUCCCUCCUUGACAUUUACGUGAUAACGAACCAGG